GAUAGGUGGUGCAUGGCCGUUCUUAGUUCGUGGAGUGAUCUGUCUGCUUAAUUGCGUAUCAAUAAUAGAGACCUAGUAUACGCGUGGAUUUCGCGUGGUAGUGACCCCCUGUUUAACGACAGGCGUGUGUCGCACACGCGUACCUACGCACUGGUCUCAGAUAGCAACGAACGUGACCGUAUUCUAUUGUUGCAGUGAAAUGUGCCUUCGGGUACGACCCACUGCUUAGUAUAUGUACGUGCUUCGGCGCGAACAAUAUACAUUAAACUAUAGAGACCGCUGUUUCUUCUUUAAACCAGAGGAAGGAUACGGCAAUAACAGGUCUGUGAUGCCCUCAGAUGUUCCGGGCUGCACACGUGCUACAAUGAUCAUUGCACUGUGCAUCUAACCCAAUGUGCGCGGACGCCGCAUGCAUGUGCUCUUCGCGGAGUACACGCAUUGCUGUUGCGACCGCGCCGAACCUACUUCGAAAGUAAAAUUUCUCAGUGGGUAAUCCAUUAGAAGUAAUGACUCGCAUAGACCAUGGCACAACUAAAUGUACGCGCAGGUUCUACCCGGCUCGCCUUUGUGUGAGUGCAGUGCGUAGCUUGUUGUUUCGUACGUGCCACUCCGUAUUAAUUCGUACGUGGGGAUAGACCAUUGUUUAAUUGUUGGUCUCGGUCUUAACUAGGAAUGCCUUGUACGGGUCUCUGGUUCAACAUACCACCCGGAAUACGUCCCUGCCCUUUGUACACACCGCCCGUCGCUCUUACC
rnacentral:rRNA from 2 species